rnacentral:rRNA from 1 species
AGUGAACGCUGGCGGCGUGCUUAACACAUGCAAGUCGAACGAGAACGGAUUAUAGCUUGCUAUAAUUGUCAGCUAAGUGGCGCACGGGUGAGUAAUGUAUAGGUAAUAUGCCUCUUACUAAGGGAUAACAAAUGGAAACGUUUGCUAAUACCUUAUACUCCUUAUUAACAGAAGUUAAUAAGGGAAAGAUUUAUUGGUAAGAGAUUGGCCUGUAUUGUAUCAGUUAGUUGGUGGGGUAAUGGCUUACCAAGACUAUGACACAUAACUGGUUUGAGAGGAUGAUCAGUCACACUGGAACUGAGACACGGUCCAGACUCCUGCGGGAGGCAGCAGUGGGGAAUAUUGCACAAUGGACGAAAGUCUGAUGCAGCAACGCCGCGUGGAGGAUGACACAUUUCGGUGCGUAAACUCCUUUUAUAUGAGAAGAUAAUGACGGUAUUAUAUGAAUAAGCACCGGCUAACUCCGUGCCAGCAGCCGCAGUAA